GGCCCCUUGUGUAUUUUUUUGAAGAUAGGGGGUCUGGCCUGCCCGGUGACGUAGAGUUAAACGGCCGCGGUAUCCUGACCGUGCAAAGGUAGCAUAAUAAUUUGCCUAUUAAUUGUGGGCUUGUAUGAAUGGUUUGACGAGGGUGGGACUGUCUCUUAGUGGGGUAUGUGGAAUUUAAUUUUUAGGUGAAGAGGCCUAAAUAUGAUUAAGGGACGAUAAGACCCUGUCGAGCUUUAGUUAAGUUUUGAGGUAUAUUGAAGUAGAUUUAUAUUUUAUUUCUAUUGAAAUGAAUCUUUGGUUGGGGCGAUCGGAAAGUAAGGGAAACCUUUCAUUAAGUUGUAGGUCUAUAGAUUAAGGAUCUGGUGUAUGUGUACAGAUAAAAAGAGUAAGUUACCGCAGGGAUAACAGCGUAAUCUUUUUGGAGAGUUCUUAUUGAGAAAAGGGUUUGCGACCUCGAUGUUGGACUAAGGUAACCUAAUGGUGUAGCAGCUAUUGAGGGUUGGUCUGUUCGACCAUUAAAACCUUACA
rnacentral:rRNA from 1 species